rfam:Rheinheimera sp. SA_1 Contig_6, whole genome shotgun sequence.
GCGUCCUUAGCUCAGUUGGUUAGAGCACCACCUUGACAUGGUGGGGGUCGGUGGUUCGAGUCCACUAGGACGCA